rnacentral:rRNA from 1 species
UGGGGAAUAUUGCACAAUGGGCGAAAGCCUGAUGCAGCGACGCCGCGUGCGGGAUGAAGGCCUUCGGGUUGUAAACCGCUUUUAAUUGGGAGCAAGCGAGAGUGAGUGUACCUUUUGAAUAAGCACCGGCUAACUACGUGCCAGCAGCCGCGGUAAUACGUAGGGUGCAAGCGUUAUCCGGAAUNUUGGGCGUAAAGAGCUCGUAGGCGGUUUGUCACGCCUGGUGUGAAAGUCCAUCGCUUAACGGUGGAUCUGCGCCGGGUACGGGCAGGCUAGAGUGCAGUAGGGGAGAUUGGAAUUCCCGGUGUAACGGUGGAAUGUGUAGAUAUCGGGAAGAACACCAAUGGCGAAGGCAGAUCUCUGGGCUGUUACUGACGCUGAGGAGCGAAAGCAUGGGGAGCGAACAGGAUUAGAUACCCUGGUAGUCCAUGCCGUAAACGGUGGAUGCUGGAUGUGGGACCCUUCCACGGGUUCCGUGUCGGAGCUAACGCGUUAAG